rnacentral:lncRNA from 1 species
UAUAGAAUUUUUAUAAAUUUAAUUUCUUUUUGAUAGUGGCUUUUAAGAUUGGUUUUGGUUGAUAGUAACUUCUAAAUAUUUAGAGUCACCUUUGUUAGACUUUGGUGACAUUUGAAAACUUAUUUUGGUUCUUUUAUUUGGUAUUUAGUGCAUAAAUUAUAUAAAUCUCAUAAGAAAAAGGAUUGAAGAAGGAUUUUGGUAGCAAAGGGAGGAAUUAGGCAACCAAUACAGAUGAAUGGAGAUGAAAAAUAAAAAUCUCCAUUCCUAUUGGUCAAAAAUCAUGACCAAUGGGCUUUGAGGAGGCUGCCCGAGGCCAUAUUAGGGAUUAGGGUUAGUUUCUCUAAGCCAUUCGAACUUUGAAGGCUAG